UGAAUAUGGGGGGACCAUCCUCCAAGGCUAAAUACUCCUGACUGACCGAUAGUGAACCAGUACCGUGAGGGAAAGGCGAAAAGAACCCCUGUGAGGGGAGUGAAAUAGAACCUGAAACCGUGUACGUACAAGCAGUAGGAGCACCUUCGUGGUGUGACUGCGUACCUUUUGUAUAAUGGGUCAGCGACUUAUAUUCAGUGGCAAGGUUAACCGUAUAGGGGAGCCGUAGCGAAAGCGAGUCUUAACUGGGCGCUCAGUCUCUGGAUAUAGACCCGAAACCGGGUGAUCUAGCCAUGGGCAGGUUGAAGGUUGAGUAACAUCAACUGGAGGACCGAACCGACUAAUGUUGAAAAAUUAGCGGAUGACUUGUGGCUAGGGGUGAAAGGCCAAUCAAACUCGGAGAUAGCUGGUUCUCCCCGAAAGCUAUUUAGGUAGCGCCUCGGACGAAUACUACUGGGGGUAGAGCACUGUUAAGGCUAGGGGGUCAUCCCGACUUACCAACCCUUUGCAAACUCCGAAUACCAGUAAGUACUAUCCGGGAGACACACGGCGGGUGCUAACGUCCGUCGUGGAGAGGGAAACAACCCAGACCGCCAGCUAAGGUCCCAAAGUAUUGCUAAGUGGGAAACGAUGUGGGAAGGCUCAGACAGCUAGGAUGUUGGCUUAGAAGCAGCCAUCAUUUAAAGAAAGCGUAAUAGCUCACUAGUCGAGUCGGCCUGCGCGGAAGAUGUAACGGGGCUAAGCAA
rnacentral:rRNA from 1 species